AAAAUGCAGGAAAAAAAAAAGGGCAAUUUAGGACCUCACCUGAGUAAUAAAAGGCUCGAAUGCACUUAGCUUUGUAUGGUCCGUUUUACCAAGAAUACUUAACAAUGGCUAAAUGCGAGCUUAUGUAUCUAUUUUUUUUAUUCGAUCAACUUUAUUUCUUGAUUUUGUUUAUCUAUACAAGAUUUUGAACUAGUGGAGAUCGUUGCAGAGUUUGACUUAUCUUCGCCUGCAUUAACACUUGAGGUUGAGGCGGGAUCAUUGUGGAUUUUAAUUUUCUUUGCCUGCAUUUUAAUUUUUUGCACUCAUGUGAUGCAGAAUUGCAAAUAUUUUUGUGUGGUUAUGUAUGGAUCUAUGAUGAGCUGAGUUGAUUGGUACCCAAAAAUAAUUGAUUGCAAAUUUAAGUUUUGUUUGUAUUGCUCUGCAUGUAUUUUAAAAAUUUUCUCAAUCUCAUAGAGAUAAAUUUUUUUGUGAUAUUUGUUUCAGGUAGAAGCUGUGAACAACAUUU
rnacentral:misc_RNA from 1 species